UCAUUGAGGCAGGGAGGGGGAGUAGAUAAUAGGGGUCUGGGAGAGACAAGCAUGGGAUUGGGGGUCCCUGAAGUCAGUGCUGUUGAGGAGUCACCAACAUGGCCUGGACUCUGGUCUUUCUCAGUCUCCUCACUCAGGGAACAGGUUCCUGGGCCCAGUCUACCCUGACUCAGCCGGCCUCAGUAUCUGGAGCUCUGGGACAGACCAUUACCAUUUCUUGUACCGGAACCAGCAAUGACAUUGGGAGGUAUAAUGCUGUCUCCUGGCACCAACAGUAUCCUGGAAAGGCCCCCAAAGCUCUGAUUUAUGGAGUAAAUACUCGGCCAUCAGGGAUCCCUGAUCGCUUCUCUGGCUCCAAGUCUGGCAACACAGCUUCCCUGACCAUCUCUGGGCUCCAGGCUGAGGAUGAGGCUGAGUAUUACUGUGCCUCAGCUAGAAGUGGUAGCACUUACACAGUGGUCUGA